GGUCCCAUAGCUCAACUGGAUAGAGCGGCCGAUUUCUACUCGGCAGGUUGAAGUUUCGAACACUUCUGGGACCACCA
rnacentral:tRNA from 2 species